CUAUUUUGCUUGAUAAUCUUGCCUCUGCAAACGGUGUUGCCCUCUCAGCCGAUCAAGAUUACUUGGUCAUAUGUGAAACUUGGAAGGACCCGACAAUGAGGCGCUCCAACAUUUGGUCCCAUGUGAAGGACACCGCGUAGAGAUGCGACCUUCCGUUGAUGAGAUGGGGCUGCCAGCAAUGAUUUGCGCAAAGUGAAAGAAUCAAAGUGAGGAAUACGGGAAUUAGAUUGAACAUGGUUUACUGGAUGGGUGUUUUGUGUAUUCUAAUUCAUAGGAUCUAGGAAACUAAGGGUGUGUUCUCUUUCUCGUUUU